ensembl:rRNA 5S_rRNA 5S ribosomal RNA
CUUUAUAGCCAUACCACCCUGAACGCAGGGGAUCUCGACUGAUCUUGGAAGCUAAGCAGGGUCGGGCCUAGUUAGUACUUGACCCCCUGGGAAUACUGGGUGCUAUAGGCU